CUCCAUACUGUUUUCCAGAAUGGCCGUAUCAAUUACAUUCUCAUCAACAACGUAUAAGGGUUCCCUUUUCUUCUAAACUGUCUCUUCAGCCCUGGACUCAUGUUUCAAGUGAUCUUCAUGUGGACUGCAGUUAACCAUGGGUCAGGUGGUGGCCUAUAGAGCCUUGGGAGUCUCCAGAAAUUGUAUGCAAUUGCUGCGUGUAUGUGCACAUGCACAUUUUUCUGGAGAGAAGGAUCAUAAUUUUCUUCAGAUUCUCAAAUGUACGUGUGACUCUAAAGAAAGAUAAACUCAGUUCAUUAAAAAGUAAGAAUAUGAUUAUACCUUCAAUACAACAUCACCUUCUUGAAUAUUGCCAUCUCUUGCUGCCAAACUAUCUUGUGAAAUUUCCUUAACAAAUAUAUGGCUUGCCAAUCGAA
rnacentral:lncRNA from 1 species